rnacentral:rRNA from 1 species
AGUGAACGCUGGCGGUAGGCCUAACACAUGCAAGUCGAGCGGCAGCACAGUAAGAGCUUGCUCUUACGGGUGGCGAGUGGCGGACGGGUGAGGAAUACAUCGGAAUCUACUUUUUCGCGGGGGAUAACGUAGGGAAACUUACGCUAAUACCGCAUACGACCUACGGGUGAAAGCAGGGGAUCUUCGGACCUUGCGCGAUUGAAUGAGCCGAUGUCGGAUUAGCUAGUUGGCGGGGUAAAGGCCCACCAAGGCGACGAUCCGUAGCUGGUCUGAGAGGAUGAUCAGCCACACUGGAACUGAGACACGGUCCAGACUCCUACGGGAGGCAGCAGUGGGGAAUAUUGGACAAUGGGCGCAAGCCUGAUCCAGCCAUACCGCGUGGGUGAAGAAGGCCUUCGGGUUGUAAAGCCCUUUUGUUGGGAAAGAAAAGCAGCAGGUUAAUACCCCGCUGUUCUGACGGUACCCAAAGAAUAAGCACCGGCUAACUUCGUG